AAAGGAGGAAGAAAGGAGGGGGAGAGGAUGACAAGUGGGGCCUGAAUUGGGGGCAACAAUGGCAAUUAACACUGAAAUUGAUUUUUUUUGGAGCUGAGAGUACCCAUCUAGCCAAACACCCCAUUUUAUUUCUGGAGUUCUGGAGUGGAGCUGACUCUACCUGGAGUUUUGGAGUAGAGCAGCUCCACCCAGAGCUGGAGCCAUGCCAAGUAGGGCCUAAGUCGAGAACUCGAAAUUUGAUAGGCAAUUAAUCUUAACAGCUGAGCUACGCUCAAUUCACCUCACUUGGUUUAAGUCCAUUAGGGCCGUAGCCAGCCCGUGCAAUGAGCGCACUGGAUCGGCACCAACGACUAGCACCUGCACUGCCCAUUCACAGAGCUUCAUGGAAACGUGGUGUGUUGCUCUCAUGAAGUGCUAACAAGAAUUAAGUAAUAAUUUCACAAUAAUAGAAUCAGUCAAUUAGGAACUAAAUGCAUGAUUAAAUGAUCUAAAAUCAUACUCAUACUCCC
rnacentral:lncRNA from 1 species